rnacentral:rRNA from 1 species
CAUGUAGGCGGAUAUGCAAGCUUGGUGUGAAAGGCAGGGGCUUAACUCCUGGACUGCGUUGAGAACUGCAUAACUAGAGUAACUGAGGGGGCAACCGGAAUUCCAGGGUGUAGGGGUGAAAUCCGUAGAUAUCUGGAAGAACACCAAUGGCGAAGGCAGGUUACCAGCAGAUUACUGACGCUGAGGUGCGAAGGUGCGGGGAGCAAACA